rnacentral:sRNA from 1 species
CUUUAAAAAUCUGGAUCAAGCUGAAAAUUGAAACGACACACAGUGAAUGUGUGUUCGAGUCUCUCAAAUUUUCGCGACACGAUGAUGUUUCACGAAACAUCUUCGG